CCCAGCGAUGGACUGGGGUAGGCGGCCAUUCAGCGCAUUGUCUCUGACUUUGCGCCACGCAGGGCGGGAGCUUGGCUGCGCGGCUGCGCUGUCUCUCCUGGGUGCGGCUGCCCGUGUAGGGGCCCGCGGCUGAAUAGCAUGGUGAGUGUAUGGGCAGCGGGUGGGCUGGGAGCCGCGUUUACGCCGGUUAUGCGAGUGUGCGGGCGCGGGCGGUGGGGUUGUGGCUGGGCAGCCAUCGGGUAGGUACAGCCGCUGGUACGUGGGAGCAGCAGGUUGCUGGUAUGGCCGGGUAUGUAGUAGCGCGUGGACUGUGUGGGUGUGUGGGCCGGUGAUUAGUGCGCGGGCUGGCAUUUGCCUGAUUGGGGACCUCCAGGUCCCCGUCCAUCGCGUGGUCCCUAGGGUUUUGCAUUGUUGAGCGAGUGGGGCGAACUCCCUCGCGGCACUCAUGUAGAAAGCUAGGUCCUUUGUGGGGUCGGAGGGGUCAUGAACCGUAGAGCCGGGUAGGGCGUCGUCAUUGGCUUCGACCUCGGGGUUUCUUGUGCGUGUGUCGUGUUUGAUGAAGUGAGAAUGACGUUGCUUUGCCGUUUGCUUCGGUUUUGCCUGCAGGACUUCUAGGGAAGGUUUUGGUGGAGCCGCGGGGCUCGGUAGUGCCUCUUGCCAGCGGGCCAGGAGGGAGGUGAGAGUUCGUUGGGGUAUGGGUUUAGGUAGGUCUCCAGCUGAAUUGAGGUCGGCCUUGGAGACGCCGGCGGGCAGGGUGCGGCUUUGCAUGGGGAGGGGUUUGUGGCCCAUAGAUUUGGGGGGUGCUUCUGACGGUUUACAUAGGGCGACGGUAAAUCGGUUUAAGGCCCUCUUGUGCUUGUCUUUCACCCUGCCUUUUGGGAACCGCCGGUCAAGCUGCGUGGUGUCAAUAAUGUGCCGCCCUGUGUUUGCGUCCACCAGGUCCGCCAAGUUCAGUCCAAGGUCGAUGGUCAAGGGGCUGAUCCAGUCGGCGCGAAGGUAGGCGGGCGUGGUGGCUUCAGCGGCCCGCAGUUUAGAGACAAGGGCUGGUAGGGCGGCAGUGAAUUCUUUGCCUUGCAGCAUGGCAAGUAGGUCGUGGUCCUGUAGAAGUGUGAGUUGUUUAAGGGUGACAAAAAAUUGACCCGCCCUUUUCAUGUCGUGCAGUGGGAGGUCACUUCCUGCGUGCGCGGCCUGUAGGUGGAGCAG
rnacentral:lncRNA from 1 species